rnacentral:rRNA from 1 species
AUACGGAGGAUGCAAGCGUUAUCCGGAUUUAUUGGGUCUAAAGGGUGCGUAGGCUGUUCGGAAAGUCAGGGGUGAAAGCCCGGCGCCUAACGCCGGAACUGCCUUUGAUACUUCCGAGCUGGAAUACGGAUGCCGUGGGAGGAAUGAGUAGUGUAGCGGUGAAAUGCAUAGAUAUUACUCAGAACACCGAUUGCGAAGGCAUCUCACGAAUCCGUCAUUGACGCUGAGGCACGAAAGCGUUGGGAUCAAACAGGAUUAGAUACCCUGGUAGUCCACGCAGUAAACGAUGAUGACUAACCGUCGGCGAUACACAGUCGGUGGCCAAGCGAAAGCGAUAAGUCAUCCACCUGGGGAGUACGUUCGCAAGAAUGAAACUCAAAUGAAUUGACGGGG